GACGAACGCUGGCGGCGUGCUUAACACAUGCAAGUCGAACGGAAAGGCCCUGCUUUUGUGGGGUGCUCGAGUGGCGAACGGGUGAGUAACACGUGAGUAACCUGCCCUUGACUUUGGGAUAACUUCAGGAAACUGGGGCUAAUACCGGAUAGGAGCUCCUGCUGCAUGGUGGGGGUUGGAAAGUUUCGGCGGUUGGGGAUGGACUCGCGGCUUAUCAGCUUGUUGGUGGGGUAGUGGCUUACCAAGGCUUUGACGGGUAGCCGGCCUGAGAGGGUGACCGGCACAUUGGGGACUGGGAAACGGCCCAAACCCCUCGGGGGGGAAGAGGGGGGGAAUAUUGCAAAAGGGGGGGAGGCCUAAUGCAGAAACGCCGGGGGGGGGAUGAGGGCCUUGGGGUUGAAAACCGCUUUCGCCUGGGACGAAGCGGGGGUGGCGGUAAUGGGAAAAGAAGCACCGGCUAACUACGU
rnacentral:rRNA from 1 species